rnacentral:precursor_RNA from 10 species
AAACAACUGAGACACGCUACUGGCUGACAGCCUGGUCUCAUGUGGUGAAUAGAUGGAAACAAGUUCUAGCACCAUUUGAAAUCAGUUUGUCUGAGUGGCACAGCAUCUGAAUGUUACU